rnacentral:lncRNA from 1 species
GAUGGCUCUUUUUAACGUUUCCACUUCACAAUUCUGACAGGCUCCGUUCUAAAAUCUAAGAAAAUCGGCUUACUUUUACCCUGUAUACAGAUUAUGUACGGAUGAAAAAAUACAAUGAAGUAUUUCAUUUCAAGUGUGCAGUGUGCUUUGUACCUCCUGCUAUACCAGUUGGUUGCAAACGUAAAGCCAAGCAGCCAAGCUUCAGAAGUCCCUAAAGCUACAGAACCACAACGUAGGAACCCAACCCGUGUAGCAAGUACAAGGCCCAUCGCAGUUGUACCGAGUGCACGUCAGGUUGAGCGUGUAGCAAGUACUAGGCCAUGUGCAGUUGUACUGAGUGCAUCGGUUCCACGUAUUGUUCUAACUUCAACACCGAUGGACGAAGUUUUGCCUAAUAACCCAGGAACUGACCGGUGAAUCUCCCAAUGGAAUCUCCUAUUUUAGAUCAGCCCUCCAUCACUGUUUCAGUCGGUCUUUCGGUGAACUUCAUCAUCUCACCAUCGGAUCACCAACAGCUUGUUGACUGGAGUUCUAGAUAUGACGUUCCGUUGCCUUUAAGAGAAGACACAGUGGAACUCCUUCAACGAGCUGUUGCCCCAGUUGCCCCAGUCACUGAACACCCUUUAGUACCUUAUGAUGAUGAUUCUUAGGAUGAAGAUGACGAGGUCGAUGAGCCGUUCAAGUGGCACACACUUGAGUCGGCACUGAGAAAGAGAAAGAAGACGCUUUUUGAUGGCCAGGGUCACUCUUUUGGAAUUAAGCGAACGUAAAAAACUGCAAAUUCUAUUUCUUGGUGGUGCACAUGUCGCUCAGGAAAGGACUGGUGUCGUGCUAUGGUAUUACAAAGAGGAGAAAAAUUCAUUCCCGGAAAACACUCAUAUACUUGCAAAAAAACACUCGACAAAUCUCUGCAAGCGGAAAUUGUUGCUGCCGUGAAAAGCGGAGUUGCUCAAAACGUGUUUGCCACGCAAAACAAGUUGUCGAGCCAAUUUUUUUGCAAAAUUUCGAGAAGGACCCUGAAAGAAUUUGCCGGUGCUCUAUAACGUUACAAGAGCUGCACAGCAACAAAAAGAAAAAUCCUACCCAAAGAAUCCACUUAAUUUGGAAUUCGACUGGGCUUGAUACCAGGCAAAUGUACCGAACGGUUUUUAACGGCGACAUUUCGGUGAAGACGAAAAACACAUUAAGCCGCCACCUCAUUUCCGCUACCGAUGGCCAGUUGAAAUUUUUGAAGAAAGCCAAGCGGUGGUACAUAGAUGGAACUUUUUUCGUUACGCCAAAACCAUUCUACCAGCUGUACAUCAUCCAUGCCUUCAUUAGACACGUAGAACUUGUUAAACAAGUGCCAUUAGCCUUUAUCCUAAUGUAUCGCACAACAAAAAAAGAGACUACACUGCUGUCUUUGAACAUAAUUUAUCUCUGAUUACGGAGACGGAAAAAAACUACCCUAACGUGGAAGAGGUGGUAUCAGAUUUUGAAAAGGCUGUGUGGGUUUAUCCGUUGUCCAGCAUUUCUUUGAUGCCGUACUCGGAUGUUCAAAACAUCCUUCGGACAUCUACUGGACCGCCAGACAUCCGUACUGGAGGGCGUUCGGAGGUCAGAAAAACGUUAGAAGACCUACCCAAAUCGUCGCCGACGGACAUCCCAGGUUCAUUACUCCGGAUAUUAAUAUGACGUUCCUGGGCUUUGAUUUUGCGUUUAGAUCUGCAAAUAUUCAUCAUUGCUUAAUUCUUAAAAACACAUAAUAAAUCAAAUAAACCCUC